UCCCGAGCGUUNUCCGGAUUUAUUGGGCGUAAAGCGAGCGCAGGCGGUUAGAUAAGUNUGAAGUGAAAGGCAGUGGCUCAACCAUUGUAGGCUUUGGAAACUGUUUAACUNGAGUGCAGAAGGGGAGAGUGGAAUUCCAUGUGUAGCGGUGAAAUGCGUAGAUAUAUGGAGGAACACCGGUGGCGAAAGCGGCUCUCUGGUCUGUAACUGACGCUGAGGCUCGAAAGCGUGGGGAGCGAACAGGAUUAGAUACCCUGGUAGUCCACGCCGUAAACGAUGAGUGCUAGGUGUUAGGUCCUUUCCGGGACUUAGUGCCGCAGCUAACGCAUUAAGCACUCCGCCUGGGGAGUACGACCGCAAGGUUGAAACUCAAAGGAAUUGACGGGGGCCCGCACAAGCGGUGGAGCAUGUGGUUUAAUUCGAAGCAACGCGAAGAACCUUACCAGGUCUUGACAUCCCUCUGACCACUCUAGAGAUAGAGUUUCCCUUCGGGGCAGAGGUGACAGGUGGUGCAUGGUUGUCGUCAGCUCGUGUCGUGAGAUGUUGGGUUAAGUCCCGCAACGAGCGCAACCCUUAUUGUUAGUUGCCAUCAUUCAGUUGGGCACUCUAGCGAGACUGCCGGUAAUAAACCGGAGGAAGGUGGGGAUGACGUCAAAUCAUCAUGCCCCUUAUGACCUGGGCUACACACGUGCUACAAUGGCUGGUACAACGAGUCGCAAGCCGGUGACGGCAAGCUAAUCUCUGAAAGCCAGUCUCAGUUCGGAUUGUAGGCUGCAACUCGCCUACAUGAAGUCGGAAUCGCUAGUAAUCGCGGAUCAGCACGCCGCGGUGAAUACGUUCCCGGGCCUUGUACACACCGCCCGUCACACCACGAGAGUUUGUAACACCCGAAGUCG
rnacentral:rRNA from 1 species